rnacentral:misc_RNA from 1 species
AACAUCGCGCACCUGCGGGAACCUGCGGAAGGAUCAUUAUCGAGUUUACAACUCCCAAACCCCUGUGAACAUACCAAUCGUUGCCUCGGCGGGACCGCCCCCGGCGCCCCCGGGCCCGGACCCAGGCGCCCGCCGGAGGACCCCCAAACUCACUUGAUUCCACGGUGUAUCUUCUGAGUGACACAAGCAAAUAAAAUCAAAACUUUCAACAAUGGAUCU